GACCUGCGGAGGAUCAUUAUUGAAAUAAACCUGAUGGGUUGUUGCUGGCUCUCUAGGGAGCAUGUGCACACCUUGUCAUCUUUAUAUCUCCACCUGUGCACCUUUUGUAGACCUUUCAGGUCUAUGUUGCUUCAUUUACCCCCAAUGUAUGUCAAUAGAAUGUUGUGCCUAUAAAAUCUAUACAACUUUCAGCAACGGAUCUCUUGGCUCUCGCAUCGAUGAAGAACGCAGCGAAAUGCGAUAAGUAAUGUGAAUUGCAGAAUUCAGUGAAUCAUCGAAUCUUUGAACGCACCUUGCGCUCCUUGGUAUUCCGAGGAGCAUGCCUGUUUGAGUGUCAUUAAUAUAUAUAUCAACCUUCUCUUGUUUGAGUGGUUUGGAUGUGGGGGUUUGCUGGCUUCUUAAAAGGGUUCAGCUCCUCUGAAAUGCAUUAGCAGAACAACCUGUUCAUUGGCGUGAUAACUAUCUAUGCUAUUGAAUAUCAGGGGGCAGUUCAGCUUUCUAACAGUCCUUGGACAAUUUAUCAUUUAUGGCCUCAAAUC
rnacentral:rRNA from 1 species